CGGUGAUAGCAUAUCAUAGUGGCGCACGGGUGCGUAACACGUAUGCAACCUACCUUAUACUGAGGGAUAGCCUUUCGAAAGGGAGAUUAAUACCUCAUAACACAUUGAACUGGCAUCAGUUUAUUGUUAAAGAUUUAUUGGUAUAAGAUGGGCAUGCGUCCAAUUAGUUAGUUGGCGAGGUAACGGCUCACCAAGACGAUGAUUGGUAGGGGAACUGAGAGGUUAAUCCCCCACACUGGCACUGAGAUACGGGCCAGACUCCUACGGGAGGCAGCAGUAGGGAAUAUUGGGCAAUGGAGGCAACUCUGACCCAGCCAUGCCGCGUGCAGGAAGAAGGCGUUAUGCGUUGUAAACUGCUUUUAUAUAGGAAGAAAUAGACCUUGCGAGGUAAGUUGACGGUACUAUAUGAAUAAGCACCGGCUAACUCCGUGCCAGCAGCCGCGGUAAUACGGAGGGUGCAAGCGUUGUCCGGAUUUAUUGGGUUUAAAGGGUGCGUAGGCGGUUUAUUAAGUCAGUGGUGAAAGACGGUCGCUCAACGAUUGCAGUGCCAUUGAUACUGGUAGACUUGAGUGGGAUUGAGGUAGCUGGAAUGGAUAGUGUAG
rnacentral:rRNA from 1 species